CCUACGGGAGGCAGCAGUGAGGAAUAUUGGUCAAUGGACGAGAGCCUGAACCAGCCAAGUAGCGUGAAGGACGACUGCCCUAUGGGUUGUAAACUUCUUUUAUAUGGGAAUAAAACAGGGUAUGCAUACCCUCUUGUAUGUACCAUAUGAAUAAGGAUCGGCUAACUCCGUGCCAGCAGCCGCGGUAAUACGGAGGAUCCGAGCGUUAUCCGGAUUUGUUGGGUUUAAAGGGAGCGUAGGUGGGUUGGUAAGUCAGUUGUGAAAGUUUGCGGCGCAACCGUAAAAUUGCAGUUGAAACUGGCAGUCUUGAGUACAGUAGAGGUAGGCGGAAUUCGUGGUGUAGCGGUGAAAUGCUUAGAUAUCACGAAGAACUCCGAUUGCGAAGGCAGCUUACUGGACUGCAACUGACACUGAUGCUCGAAAGUGUGGGUAUCAAACAGGAUUAGAUACCCUUGUAGUC
rnacentral:rRNA from 1 species